rnacentral:rRNA from 1 species
GGGGAUGACGUCAAAUCAUCAUGCCCCUUAUGACCUGGGCUACACACGUGCUACAAUGGCAUCUACAGUGAGCAGCGAUCCCGCGAGGGUUAGCUAAUCUCCAAAAGAUGUCUCAGUUCGGAUUGUUCUCUGCAACUCGAGAGCAUGAAGGCGGAAUCGCUAGUAAUCGCGGAUCAGCAUGCCGCGGUGAAUACGUUCCCAGGCCUUGUACACACCGCCCGUCA